CUGUAACAAUCCUUAUUUACC
rnacentral:tRNA from 1 species